UACGUAGGGGGCAAGCGUUGUCCGGAUUUAUUGGGCGUAAAGAGCGUGUAGGCGGUUAGGUAGGUCCGUUGUGAAAACUCGAGGCUCAACCUCGAGACGCCGAUGGAAACCAUCUAACUAGAGUCCGGAAGAGGAGAGUGGAAUUCCUGGUGUAGCGGUGAAAUGCGCAGAUAUCAGGAAGAACACCCGUGGCUAAGGCGGCUCUCUAGUACGGUACUGACGCUGAGACGCGAAAGCGUGGGGAGCGAACGGGG
rnacentral:rRNA from 1 species